CUUCCACGUCACUGUGCAGUGCAACAGGUCCAGACAAUCGAAUGCCUCUGCAAGUCUUCACCCUAUGCCCCAAGCCAGAAGACAAAUUAUAACAAGAAAGCAUUAGGAAACAGUGAUCAACUUCAGGAUAGUCACGGCAGCAGUGUUAUCCUGAGAAGCUGAAGGCUGUCAACCACAUUACGACACAGCUUUGGAAGAAGAUUUUAUUCUACUGACUACAACUGGCCACCCUUUGAGUACAGAUGCACGGACAGAACUGUUCAAAUACUCUCUGAAUGCCUACAGAUAUGGAUGUCUAUCUCUUGUACCAGAGGCCUGCUAAUACAUCACCUCAUCAUUAAUUUUUUACUCAGUUUCCAACUAUAUAAUUCAAUUGAAUCAUAUUUUACUGCUUGACAAGGUAUAGAACUCUGAUUAUAAAUCAGAUAUGCCCUUCGGAUAUCUGCUGGAAGCACAGUCUGCCCUGUAUAAAGCUUUUGGUGUUGGGGUUUCUGUUCUUGUUUAUCUUUAUUACUGCAUUCCACUCUGAUCAAAACAACACCAUAAAAAUAAUCAAUAAUUUUAAAACGUAUUUUCCUACUGCUUUCCUAUUGUAUUAUAUGGCUUAAUUUUUUUUUUUUUUUUUAAAGUUCUGCUUUCUCCUUUUCUUACAAGGAGGAAAGUCCUGACCUCCUUUGCCAGGGCCCGAC